AUCCACCUCGCGCACUAACGCAUU
rnacentral:snRNA from 1 species